rnacentral:pre_miRNA from 1 species
GUGGAGAAGAAAGCGAAGGUGUUCUUCACGUCUGGGCCGCGAUGGUUUGUUUUACAAAUAAACCAUCUGCCCCAGACGAGAAGAGCACCUUCGCCUUCGUUUAC